rnacentral:lncRNA from 1 species
GUCCAAAGGGACAAAAAAGCUGGCCAAAACUAAAUAUUUUUUUUUAAUUUUUAAUUUUACCUUGUUUUAUUGUAAAGGGGGAUAUUCUACGUAUUAUCCUGAAAGAAUAGGCAGGUAGCUUUAAAACUCGCUAUUGUGUGUCAGUCAGAAUCCGGCUCCGCCGGAAUGCAUCUCGUACGGGCUUCAUUUGUCUAUCUUUACGCGACAGUGUCGGUGGGAGCAAAAUUCAACGGUGUGUCGGAUUGUAAAUCCGUAAAAUGGAGGGAAAUCCUGAAGGAUAAUAUAUGAUGGACAUCAGACGUUAUCGUGAAAACUUUUCUCGUAAGUAUUCACGAGAAAAGACAAUGGAAGAUGUUUUUCACCGGCUACUCGCAUCUUCGGAUCCCUUCAUCUCCAGCUUGCAAAAUUAUGAAAGCAAA